rnacentral:rRNA from 1 species
UACGAAGGGGGCUAGCGUUGUUCGGAAUUACUGGGCGUAAAGCGCACGUAGGCGGAUCUUUAAGUCAGAGGUGAAAGCCUGGAGCUCAACUCCAGAACUGCCUUUGAUACUGGGGAUCUAGAGUUUGGAAGAGGUUGGUGGAACUCCUAGUGUAGAGGUGAAAUUCGUAGAUAUUAGGAAGAACACCAGUGGCGAAGGCGGCCAACUGGUCCAAUACUGACGCUGAGGUGCGAAAGCGUGGGGAGCAAACAGG